CUCUCAGUGGUGUAGCAAAAUUGCUUUCAGGGAGCUCUCCCUUCUUGCUUUCUACUCCAUCUGAACACCACUGCCACAAGGACAGCAGAAACUGAAGAAAGAGGAAGAGGAAUCUAAAGGAAAAAUACAUGGAAGAUACAAAGCAAUGGGAAUGAAUCCUACCGUUCUGUAGAAGAACAGAUCAGAAUAGAUAAAUUAUUUUGAAACCUGAGUCCAUACUCCUGUUCAUACCAAACAAUGACCUUCUUUAAUAACUGGGAGAGAUUAUCUGAGAGGACAAUGGCUUAAGUACAUAGCCUUGAAAGAACAUGGUCCAGAAUCAAGAAGCAAAAGUUCAAGGGAUGAGACAGUGCCAGGAGGGAAACACAAAGAAGAUUGCACUUAGUGUAAAGCUGGAUAAAAACAGAUUGAUCACCUGUAAGCAGACAACUAAAAUUAACCUGGAAAGGUGCAAGAAGAUCAAAGAAGAAUUUUAACAGCCUAAGAGGAAGGAAGAAAUAUGUCACAUCCCACAUCCUCCAAAAGGGGAAAGUCAAGGCAAGACAUAAAUGAUGCCUUGCCUUAAUGAAAGAUGAAGAA